GCCACAUGCCGACUUCGAGAACCAAAAUCAUAUAUCAAUAUGACGUUUAAAAGUUGAAACCGGUGACAUCGAUAACCAAGAAAAUCAAGAGCUAGAAAUACAUUGGAAAGAGAGAAAAAUAACCUCGCCGGUGAAAGCUGAAACCAAAAGCCGAAAAGUGAAAAAUGCAAAUGAGAGGAGGAGUCGACAACACCUCAGAGGAGCCAUAGACAACUCCAACCGACACUGUAUUAUCCCUUCACUCCAUGUGCCACCACCGAUGACACCAACACACGCCAGCGUUGCAAACUAAGCACAAUCACGAGCUAAACUGAGCCUCCGAAGCUCCCAUGGAAAAAGAUGAGGAGACCCACAACCACCGCCACUCAUAUACAUACUGGGAGAAGCAGAGACAACAACUGAGAACCGGAUCUGGAGAUAAAGUCGAACAAACACCUCCACACAACACCAACCCUCCAACCGGCUUAAGGGACCGAUUUCAAAACCCUGAAAAGAUGAC
rnacentral:lncRNA from 1 species